UACGAAGGGGGCUAGCGUUGCUCGGAAUCACUGGGCGUAAAGCGCACGCAGGCGGCUUUUUAAGUCAGGGGUGAAAUCCUGGAGCUCAACUCCAGAACUGCCUUUGAUACUGGGAAGCUUGAGUCCGGGAGAGGUGAGUGGAACUCCGAGUGUAGAGGUGAAAUUCGUAGAUAUUCGGAAGAACACCAGUGGCGAAGGCGGCUCACUGGCCCGGUACUGACGCUGAGGUGCGAAAGCGUGGGGAGCAAACAGG
rnacentral:rRNA from 1 species